rfam:Canis lupus familiaris chromosome 13, whole genome shotgun sequence.
GCCUGGGUGGCUCAGUGGUUGAGCAUCUGCCUUUGGCUCAGGACAUGAUCCUAGAGUCUGGGGAUAGAGUCCCUCAUCAGGCU